AUGGCACUAGAUGCUGCGUCUCAUGUGCCCAGAAUUGAAGUUUAUCCUCCCCUUCAGCAUGCCACAGAACACCAGGAGUGAACUAGCAUGGGAACCACUGUUUCAGAUGAGCCUCCCAGGCCUCACCAACCUCAGACUCAGCGAGUGCCACAGCUCUGAGGCACAGCCGAGUGUUACAGCUUGGUAUCACAACUAUUGCAGUUUGAAGACUCAAGAAUCCAACGAUCACUUGAAAAGGUGGAGAAAAACCUUUAUUAUGCCAGCAGACUCAGAGGAGUUUCUACUCUUGAUGACUGAGCACCCUACCAGAAUAAGCGCCUCCUUAUAUAGGGAUCUACAGGGUCUGUGGAGUCAUUGGUCACAGGGAGGAUGUGACCAGAGCCUUCCAGGUCAUGAGAGCCAAGGCUGUUUGUGGAGCCCUCUGAAACAGUGCUGUGAGCAGCCCACCCCUCAUCCUGAGCACCUCUGGCCCAUGGAAAACCUCUACAACAUGGCUAUGACCAGCACCACCCACCAUGCCAUCACCACAUCUCAGAAGGAUGGAGCCCUCCUCAACAUGAAUGUGAACAGAGCACCUGAGGUCCCUAAGAGCUCUGUGGUGCAUGGAAUCCUGUACACCUGGAAUGUGAGCAGAGCCUGUCCAUGUCCUAAAAGCUGCAGGGCUAUUUUGAGCCCUGGACAAUAUGGCCACAAGCAGCCCAACUAUAUGCUGACCACCUCAGGGAUUCUGAGUCUUCCAUUACAAGGAGGAAUUGACCCGAGCUUUGCAAGUCUGGACCAUCUUAGCCGGUGGUGGAGCCCUCUAUAUCAAGGAUAUGAGGACUGCUCCACUGGCAUGACCACAAUGGGUAUGUGGAUUCCUCAGUAG
rnacentral:lncRNA from 1 species